rnacentral:lncRNA from 1 species
AUCAUUCUCGUCUGAAAGCAGUGCCCGCUCCUGAACGGUGGACUGUCCAGCUUGCAGAAAAGACUGCCAGCGAUGAUCUGGGACUUAAACUGUUAUUCAAAAGACAAUAAGGUCUGCUGGGAAUGCCCUGUGAUCUCUUUGGACAGUCGCAGCGCACUCCCCCUGAGAACUCUGAGUAUUGGUUGUGUUUAUUUUCAUAGGGCCGGCCUAACCUGGUGGCCUGGUCCCUUUUGUUUUUAAUCUGCCUACUAUUGGUAAUUGUUAUUUUGUGGGUAUUUGGGGAAUUGUAAUUGUUAGACCCUAGGGUCACCUGCCCAGCAUGAGUUCAGGUCCAGGGUCUGCCACAGUGGUACUCUUUGUCAUAGGGACACUCCUCUCGUUACCUCCUGUUUCCCCCCAGGCACAUGCGGGAUGGAGAGGAAUCCCUACUAACUUGGAAACAAACACAUAUGAGUCCCUGAAGGUUUGCUUUGCCCAAGAGUUUAACCUCUCUAUCUGCUGGGUAGAUAUCCCACACCACGCAGUAGGGUUACCUUGGAGGGUGGUCCCCCAAAAUUGGUCAGAUAUCUGUUGGGGAUGGUUCAGGAGGGGAAGAAGUACCUCGGGUACCCCCUUGUCACAAAACUGUACCAUUGAAUCCCAGUAUGCAUUAAGGGACAACCCCUGGAAGCCGCAGGCCAACUCAACGCAUCUCCCUUCCCCUAUUAGGUUGCAGUCAGUGGCCCCCGGGUUGGUGUGCUAUCGACAGUUCAAGUCUAGCAAUCACACCUGGCCUGCUGGAAAUAGCACCUGUCAGUAUUAUUUAUCCCCUGACAGUAACACUUCCAUCCCUGUCUAUGUUAACGGCAAAUCCAACUCUACCGCCCGGUUCGGAACGUUUAGUGACACCCAAACAAAUAGGUGGAGUAGCGGUUAUAAUGGCUUGGUAGGGAAUGGCCACUCCUUUUACAUUUGCGGUACCUCUGCCUAUAAGUGGCUACCGCAUCGGUGGUAUGGCAGCUGCUAUCUAGGAUAUCUUGCCCCUCCCCUUCGUGUCCUCCCUAAACUGCCCCCUGGCCGCCUCAAGCAGCGUAGAUCUUUGUAUGCCACCCCAGAGCCCAUUACGGAAGGAGAUAGGUUGGGUAUGAUCCUCCUCCCAUCCUAUGGGGUGGGACGGCUAACCCAAUUUUAUCGUAGGCUCUCUGUGUUUCUCACCAAGUAUGCCAAUGAGACCUUAGCCAUAGAGAAAAGCCUUAACUCAGAGCUUUACCAGCU